GCGAGAGUGGCGGAAUUGGUAGACGCGCUGGUUUUAGGUACCAGUGUCCUAGGGCGUGAGAGUUCGAGUCUCUCCUCUCGCACCA
rnacentral:tRNA from 1 species